GCCUCUAAAAAUAAACCCCUGUCUCAGUUGGUAGAGCAUCAGGCUCUUAAUCUGAGGGUCGUGGAUUUGAGACCCACAUUGGGCA